AGCAAAAAGAGAGGAGAGCGGAAAUGCAGAAGGCUGCUCUGAGAGCUGCUGCUGCACAUGCAGAGCCCUCUGCAAUGAACAGCCUUGUGAAGAUGAUGGAGAAACUGCAACUGAAGGACUAAGUGGAGAAGCAUCAGAAGGUAGCGUCUUCGUGGCAGCAGCCCAACCUGGCACUCUGAGUCUGGUUGCAGUCCAUCAAUAAACCAUUGGAGUUAUGGAUUCACAAAGAGUGCAUGGCCUGAUUUGUUCAACAGCACUCAGUGAGCUGCUACGCCACCUCCUCGUUAUUCCACUCUCAACGCUCAGUCCGAACACCCACAGCUCCAUUAGGGAAUGCUGCAGUUUGUUGAAGCAAUGGAUGCACCAAUCCUUUGCACUGC
rnacentral:lncRNA from 1 species